AUACGGAGGAUCCGAGCGUUAUCCGGAUUUAUUGGGUUUAAAGGGUGCGCAGGCGGCCAUUUAAGUCAGCGGUUAAAUCGAGGGGCUCAACCCCAUUCUGCCGUUGAUACUGGGUGGCUUGAUUGCGGUCGAGGUUGGCGGAAUUCGUUGUGUAGCGGUGAAAUGCAUAGAUAUGACGGAGAACACCGAUUGCGUAGGCAGCUGACCAGACCGCAAAUGACGCUCAUGCACGAAAGUGCGGGGAUCGAACAGGAUUAGAUACCCUGGUAGUCCGCACAGUAAACGAUGAAUACUUGUUUUCGGCGAUAUAAUGUCGGAGGCAAAGCGAAAGCGAUAAGUAUUCCACCUGGGGAGUACGCCGGCAACGGUGAAACUCAAAUGAAUUGACGGGG
rnacentral:rRNA from 1 species